CCCCUUAAUAAAUAUUUAUACUAGUUUCAGUGAUAGUGGACUUCAUAGUAAACUGCGAAUACAUGUAUAUUUAUUAUAUUUAAGGGAUAAUUUUAACUAUGAUACAAGUUUUGGCACACAUCGCGCAUUUACUAUACAGGCUCUGUCAUCGGACGAGUUAAGGUUUUUUCAUCAUUUUUUAUUAUUUGUACUUUUGUUGUACUGUUUGUGUCAGCGACAACACUUUGACUCAGUCCAUUCCCGAAUCACACGCUUGUAAUUCCAUGGUUGUCUUUGGUUGCUUUAUACCAUAUGCGUUUUGAACAUAAAAUAGGCAGGUAGUUUUCUUGUUUGAAUUGUUUUACAUUUAUAAUUUAGGGCCCUGUUAUAGCUUGCUUUCAUGCAGUUUGUGUGUUUUUCUCAUU
rnacentral:lncRNA from 1 species